GAGUGAUUCACAUAACAACUAUGGCAAGAAAGGUCGUAAAAUGAGGCAAAAUUCACUUAAAUGUCUCACUUAGCAACCUAAAUUCUGGGCUCAAUUGUGGUCGUAAGUUGAGAACUACCUAUACAGAUAAUUCUGCCUGAAUUACUGGGUAGCUAAAACCCAUCUCCAUCUGGUUUCCAACUAUCAUCUAUAAAGCAGGUAGGCAAGAGACUAGUGCAGAGGUGACAGCUUCCUAAACUGCAUGUAGAGCCGUGGUGGCGCAGUGGUUAGAAUGCAGUAUUGCAGGCUAAUUUUGCCCACUGCCAGGAGUUCGACCCUGACCGGUUCAAAGUUCACUCAGCCUUCCAUCCUUCCGAGGUUGUUAAAAUGAGGACCCAGAUUGUGGGGACGAUACGCUGACUCAGUAUACCGAUUAGAGAGGGCUGUAAAGCAUUAUGAAGUGGUAUAUAAGUCUAAGUGCUAUUGCUAGUUUAGUUUAUUGGCUUUCUUCUUUUCUUCUUCCCUUCUCAAUUUAUACAUAUUAAAAAAGGAAUCUCACUCUGCAAGAAAAAUCUACCCAUGACUCAACAAUGCACCUGACAUCUCCCUUUUCAUUAAGCCAGAGGAUUAAGAAUGGAGAUUUCACUAAGAUUAUGCCUUGAUUAAAUCAAAGUCAUAUUACUAAUCUUCUGAAAAUUAUCCUCAGAAUCAUAAGCCUGCAAAGAACUAUUUUCAUGUUUGAAAUCCCCACUUUAGUACACUUACAGGUGGUCCUCAAUUUACACAACUGACUCUGGAAUUUUGGUUAUAAUUUGUUGCAGUCGUUAAUUGAGUCACCAAAUGACUAGACUUUAUUUCAUUUUACAACUGCUUUUUUAUGUCAAUCAUUAAGCAAAUCACAUUAAGCGAAUUACUUGGUCUCAAAUCUGAAUCCAGCUUAUCGAAUGGGUGUUCUUUGCUAGAAAACAGCAAAAAAAAAAAAAGUGCCACAAAAUAUGAUCAUGUGACUAUGGGAUGCUGCAACAGUGGUAAUGCAAGCUGGUUGCCAAACUCCUGAAAUGCCAUCACAGGUCCACAGGAGUGGUUCAGCAAUCAUAACUUUGAGAAUGGGUCAUAAAUAAAGUCCAUUGUAACUUUGAAUGGUUGUUAAGCAACUGGUUGUAAGUCAAAGAUUACCUAUGUAAGUCUAUGAAUCCUUUGCGCCAUAAGCCAAAAAGUAGAAAGCAAACAUGGAUUCAUACACUGGUAAUUUGGAGGAUAUCAGCAUAAAGAUCUGACUUUGCAGUAAAAACCAAACUAAGAUAUCUUUCAGAAAAAGCAAGGAAUCUGCUCAUUAGGCUCCCUGAUAAUACUUCCUACAUAGACCUGUAGUAUUUGUAUUUUCAGCCUUUUGUGCCCCAUCAUUUUUCAUCUGGGCUUCUCUGAGGUCACAGCUUUGCAAGCUGUACUAGUAUGGCACAAGGAGAAAGGAAUUAAACCCUUAGAUUGAAGAGAUGGCAUUGCUCAAACAAUAAGCCUAACCUGUAACCAACAACUCAGCUAUCUUACUGAAGUUGAUCAAUAUCUAGAUGCAAAACCAAGCUGGUGGCAGCCCUUGCUGACUUAGACUGAUCUUGAAAAAGCUAAGCAAAUUGAUAUUUGGAUGGGAGACCAACAGGAAAUCCUAGGGCUGUAGGAAGUCAAUAAAUUCUGAAAGCAGUAUCAAAUCACUUCCAUCUUAUUGCCAAAAUCCCUAGGAGUCAAGAUCAAGUCAAGGAUAACUUGACCAUAUUAUGGGUAAAAUGCUGUCUGGAAACUUCAUACAUACUACUCGUAUUUCAGGAAUGGCUAAGAGAGUCUCAAUCAUCCAAGCCCUGGUUGUCCCAAAGGUACUUUUUCCAAAAGGCAACUGGACUUUCUUGGGUUUUUUUUCUUUGAAAAUGUUUCAUUAUGUGAAUGUGAAAAAGUUCACAUUCUGGACAAAGAGGACCACCAGCUUGAAAGAGGGGUCAAAGGAACCAUCUAUGUUAAAACUGAACAGUCCUCCCUCAACAGAGGGGGAGAGAUAUGACACCCACCUAUCUCCUGCCUACAACGCAGUCCUUUCAGCAGUCCCAAGGUUCCACACCUAUUUUACACUCUGAUUUGCGUGACUUUGAGGACAUAGAUAAACCUCCAAGUGGCCUCAACUACUCUCAGUGACCUAACAACUCAUCCUCAGAGUGCUAACAACCAGAUGACUGCAAAGAAUAUACGGCAUUUCCAGAAAACAUGCUCGUCAUGCUCCAGCUCUUUCGGAAAAAAACACCAAAAAGCAACCGCCGUAGACAAAAAAUAAAAAAUCCCACAAAAUCCCA